rnacentral:ribozyme from 1 species
CAAAAGAACAAAAAAGAACAAAAAAAAAAAAAAAACUAUUCACACACUCACCACACACUCACUCAUCACCAUCACGCACUCAAGUUUCGAGUUUUUUUUUUACUAUUUUUUAUUUUAAGUUCAAACUCCU